rnacentral:lncRNA from 1 species
CAGUUUCAAGCUUUCUUAUUACCUUCCCUCCAUUCUUCUGUAAGUUCAUUAAUUGUUGCUUGGGAGAAAAUGGGACCAGGUGGGCCAGGAGGGCCACCGGGGCCAGGUGGACCAGGAGGGUCUCCAGGGCCAGGAGGACCAGGAGGGCCUCCAGGAUGGGGCGGUCCUGCACCCGGACCAGGAGGGCCACCGGGAUGGGGCGGUCCUCCACCCGGACCAGGAGGGCCACCGGGGUGGGGCGGUCCUCCACCCGGACCAGGGGGACCACCGGGGUGGGGCGGCCCUCCGGUCGGACCAGGGUUUUUUGGUGGCUUCUGUGAUGUAAUUGGUGCUUGGUAAGUGAAUUAGGACUUUGUAUCUGAAUUAUGAAUGAAAAUUGUUUCAAGUCGUUUAACUGGUAUUUUGGUUAGUUGUUCUGAGUGUCAAAAAGCUCAUAUUUUACUACAUUGUUGUAAAGCUUUCUAAUUUGAGAUGAGUGUUGCAUAUGAAUAUGAAAAUGAAUACACUGUGUUUUUUUUUUUUUUGGGAAAUCGUAUU